GCGGAUGUGGUGAAAUUGGCAGACACGAUAGAUUUAGGUUCUAUUGCUCCGGCAUGCAGGUUCAAAUCCUGUCAUCCGCA
rnacentral:tRNA from 1 species